rnacentral:rRNA from 1 species
UACGAGGGGGGCAAAUGUUGUUCGGAAUCACUGGGCGUAAAGGGUGCGUAGGCGGGUUUUUAAGUCAGGUGUUUAAUCCCGGGGCCCAACCCCGGACAGGCACUUGAAACUGGGAAUCUUGAAUAGUGGAGAGGUCAGUGGAAUUGGGGGUGUAGCGGUGGAAUGCGUAGAGAUCCCCAAGAACACCCGUUGCGAAGGCGGCUGACUGGACACAUAUUGACGCUGAGGCUCGAAAGCGUGGGGAGCGAACCGG